rnacentral:rRNA from 1 species
UACGUGAGAAUCUGCCCUUAGGAGAAGAAUAACUACUGGAAACGGUUGCUAAAUCUUCAUAUACCGAGAGGUGAAAUAGCUUCGGCUGCCAAAGGAUGAGCUCGCGCCUGAUUAGCUAGUUGGUAAGGUAAUGGCUUACCAAGGCCACGAUCAGUAGCUGGUUUGAGAGAACGAUCAGCCACACUGGGACUGAGACACGGCCCAGACUCCUCCGGGAGGCAGCAGUGAGGAAUUUUCCGCAAUGGGCGAAAGCCUGACGGAGCAAUACCGCGUGAGGGAUGAAGGAUUUUGGUCUGUAAA